UGGGGAAUAUUGCACAAUGGGCGAAAGCCUGAUGCAGCAACGCCGCGUGCGGGAUGACGGCCUUCGGGUUGUAAACCGCUUUCAGCAGGGACGAAGGUUUUCUGACGGUACCUGCAGAAGAAGCACCGGCUAACUACGUGCCAGCAGCCGCGGUGAUACGUAGGGUGCGAGCGUUGUCCGGAAUUAUUGGGCGUAAAGAGCUUGUAGGCGGUCCGUUGCGUCGGAAGUGAAAACUCAGGGCUUAACCCUGAGCCUGCUUUCGAUACGGGCGGACUUUGAGGGAUGUAGGGGAGAACGGAAUUCCUGGUGGAGCGGUGGAAUGCGCAGAUAUCAGGAGGAACACCAGUGGCGAAGGCGGUUCUCUGGACAUUUCCUGACGCUGAGAAGCG
rnacentral:rRNA from 1 species